GCCAGUGGGGAUGCUGUAUGAACAGUGAUGUGACGCCAAGUCUCUUAUGUGUCUUUCGAAGGACUUACCGAGCAGCGUGAUUCUGGACGACAUGGAGUGUGCAUUUGGUUUUAAAAGAGGUAAAAUACAUUGGUGGCGGCCGAUGUUUGGGUUGAAAUCGAUAUACUCCACAUACGACAGACAAUGAAUGCUAAUAAACUCAACAGACGUCAUCCCGGCAAGCUAACAGAUCUACAUGUACCAUAAAGCACCCUCAUCUAGAUACUGAAGAAAAAGAAGGCAAUGGAAUCAGUCGCCUAGAUGUCACAGACCCAAAAUUUACAGAAAGGUCCACCAAACAGUAUUGGCGUAGAUACAGAAUAUCCCAAAGUAGCCCAUGUGUCGUAUCCAACCGUGAAAGAUGUAGGACUGACAAAAGCUGGUUCUAAGUAUCGCACGGACAUAAUACUAAUACUGAGUUGGAGACCAUUCCAUGAUGAAACAUUCUAUAGAGACUAGCUUCAUCUGAAUAAAUUUGCCCGUUUUUAAAGUAAAAAC